GCAUUUUACCUACGAAUCAUCCAGACAAUAGAUAGUCACUGAAUCUUACUGAUAUUCUAAGUACUAGCGGAAUAAAUGUUGCACAUAUUUUCCUUUUAUCUCGUGAUUUAUUUGUUGGCUCAAAGUGUUACGACACUAAAUGAGUAUUUAUUAUGUGAGGAUUCUACUGGUCCUAAAUUGGAGUGUUGCCAGGAAUGUUCCAUUCAAAUUCGACAGGCGAAGUACGGGAGAACUAGUUCUAUAGUGUGUCCACACAUCUCCGUAUCCAAUUCUACAGAAUACAAUCAUACAUAUUCUGCACUCACUGAUGUGAAAACCGCUUGUGACGGAGUACAGUCAUGUCAGCCCGUAUCCUCGAACACAUACGGUGAUCCUCGUCAAGGUGUACAUAAAUACCUGAACGUUACUUAUGACUGUUUGAAAACAGCAACUACAACAGUAAAGACAACAGCUAACAUUGAUCUGACUACGCCUGUUACUGAUACAGACCUUUUGGCAUGUCGCUGUCCUUGUUCUCUAGUUGGAGCUAACAAAUGGGCAUAUUUGCGUGAUCUAAAUUUGUCUUUGGCACAAUUAGAGGAGAUAUUGAAACCUGAUCUAAAUAUAUUACAGAAACGUAUUGCGAUAAAUAAGAAAAAUACAACCCUGAAUUUACGUACCAAAUAUUCUGCAGCAGACGAUCGUAUUUCCGCCGUUUCCAUUGGAUACGUCGGAGCUACAAUAAUAUGUCUGGUUCUUGCUUUUUUUGUUAUCAUGGAUUUAAUAGAAUGUUUUCGCUGAAAUUGUUUCGUUAUAGAAAAGAUUAUGAAGAUGUUCGUCUAGUCGUAGUUUUUCGUAUUUCAACUACUUGUGAGUUUUGAUUGUGCCCUUUGUAUCGACUGCCUCUGGUUUCUUUUUCAAGAUUCAACGCUUAUCCAUUGUAUCUAUAAUGCUUAAAAAAUCUUCCGGUGUUCUCAGAGCAGAUGUGACAUUUAAAGGACAACAUUUAACAACUCUGUCACUUGCACCAAAUAAAGAGAUUCACAAAAUCAUCAAGAAUGUUCCAAUAAAGUCCUGUGAACUUGAUCGUAUUCCAAAUUACCUUUCUAAACCUUGUCUGGAUAGCUUACUUCCUUAGAUCACAAAAAUAAUCAACAAAUCGUUUGCUGAAUCAAAUUUUCCAUCAUCUUUCAGGAAAGUCAUAGUCCGACCAUCACUAAUUAAAGUCUGACUUAGACAAAGACACAUUUAAAUGCUACAGACCAGUCUCGAAGGUGUUAGAGAAUGUGAUAGGAGUGCGCUUUAGAAAUCACUUGAAUUUUAGUUCUCUUUAUGACGACAUACAGUCAGCCUACCAUGCUUGUCAUUCAUAGAAAACAGCUCCAAUAACAGUUCAUCACGACAUUGCGCUAGUACUUGAUAACAACUGUUGUGACUGUUAUUGACCAUCCGAUUCCGUCUUGAAUACUCCUACGGAAUAUUUGGUAAUGCCCUUUCAUGGAUUAAGUCCUACCUAAGCAGCAGAACUCAAAGUAUCUCUAUUAACUCAGUGCUAUCAGAUAUGCAGCUACAACCACCACGUAAACACACUACAACUUACGGGGAAAGACGAUUUGACAAAGCGGCUGCAACUCUCUUGAACAACCUGCACUAUAAUCUGCGGAACUAACAGAAGAUGGGAACUUUCAGGAAGAUUGCGAAUACUUACUUUAUAGACUUGCCUAUCAAGAUUUUAACAUUGUUUGCAUAUAAAAAUGUAUUUAUUUUAUCCCUUUAUAUUACAGUGUUAAGGCUAACUCAUUUAUGUAAUUUUUUGUGGCUUUUCACCCCUUUUUAUUUUAUUUUUUGUACCAUAUUUGAGUUUGCUAAUUUAUAUGAUUAUUUUUUUACUGUGUACAUCGCUUAGAGUAUUUUUUUUGGGAUAACGUUCUUAAUGGAUAUUGCAUAAUGAAAAAAUGAUAACCAUGAAACUUUAUUGAUUUUAUUUUUCACCAAUGAAACAAGAAUAUCCAAAUAUGGUUGUGAACAUGAGGUUUCAUAGGAAACUAAAUAAUUUGUAUGAUUUAAAAUAAGUAUCAAAAUUUACUGUCAAUAAUUAAAGUAUAUCGAUAAUUAGGUAGAUUGCCUAUUGCAUAUAUUCAGCAAAUUAUUAAAUAUUAGAGAGCAACUUUGAUGAAAUAUUUAAUCGAAGUUUUGAGAAGGUGUUCUUAAAUGUUAAGAUACAGAUAUUUGAUUAUGUUAAGUUGAGCCAGACUGUAGUUAUUGUGGGUCUUUUUCUUUUGCAAUUGAAAGAAAGAAUGUGUAUUGUAUUCAUUGCUGAAUUUAUAGUUCUGCAAAUUCAACUAGAAGUUAGUUUUAUAGAUAUAAGGAAAGUACUCAUAAUUUCCAAUUUUAUUAAGAUAGACUAGUUAGCUAUGUAUGAUUUGUUAUUUAGUGUGUGCGUUUUGUUGCCUAUUAUAUCGUUAUUAUUGAGUUAUGUGCCUUUCUUGUACUGGUUUUUAUUGAAUGUUCUCUUA